rnacentral:lncRNA from 1 species
AGGCUCAGCUUCCAUCACCGCGUGGCGGAGCCCGUGUCCGGGCCAGGUGAGCGCGGGCGGCUGCGGCGGGAGAAGCGCGCCCGCGUGGGGUGGGGCGCCGGGGGCGGGGGAGGGAGGCUGGGGGUCCCGGCAAGGCGCCGCCACCUCCGCCGCCCGCAGUCCCUGAUGGACCGUGGCGGGGCCGGCGGGCAGGGGGACGCUGGCUGCGGAUAGGGGUGGGGCAGGCAUCCCGGGGGAGUCGCGGCGCGUGGGAGCACGCGUUGGUGUGUGCAGGGGCCCGCAGCAGGGGGUCCUUAACCACACGCCUGAGUCCGCCUUCUGCACUUGUGCCUUGGGAAGAGCUCUGGGCCUCUGGGGGCCGUGUGCCCUCCCGGGACAUGGCUGUCCCUCUUCAAAAUGUCACUCUCUUCGCCCACCCUGAAUUCCAGUAGCUGCCUCUUGUGCACAAGCAUAGCCGACAGGCUCAAACUCGGCUUAGCUAGAUGUGGACAGGUCGUGGCUGCCUGCCCCACGCAACACAGAGUCUGCUAAAUGCAGGCACCUGCUGUGUGUGGUGCACGUUGUUCCCAGUGGGUCAGGCUGCCUGUACAGGGAGGUCCUGUGUUCCCUGGGCACGUCUGUGCAUUUGUGGCAACAUGAUUAUGCAGGCCCUGUCACCUGUUUGUGUGCCCAUCCCUGCACAUGCAGCUGGCUGGCUCCUAUGAAAGGAGGAGGGUCUGGAGGUUUUGGGGUGUAUAGCUUUCCUAGGCGAUAUGUGCAGUGUUAACGUGUGCAUUGGCUGGAAAGUGUGAAAGGGAGGCGGCUCAAUUGGGUUCGGCCGGACAGCAUCUUAACAUAGGUCUCAGCUGCUGUGUGUACAGGAAUAGUGUCCCAGGGGUCUGCAGUGUGUGGCAAGUAUUCUGAGGUGGGGUUGUGAGAAGAGGCGGCUUCUGAAAAAAGUCCUAAGUGCACUCUGGGGCAUCGGGUGUAUGCAGGCGGAGGGUGGGGUGGCAGGAGAAUGAGGGUGGUAUUAGGCCAGGGUGUGUUCGAUUUGGGGGCAGCUUGUAGUGGAAAGCAGCAGCUGGAGUCUGGAGACCUGGAUUUGAAUUGGAACUUAGUGGUUGUCACUGUGUCAUUCGCUUUGUUGCCUGGAAAGGUCGUCUGGGGCUCAGUUACUCUGUGUGCAAAAUGGGACUGAUAAUCACUGGCUUAUCUCCCAAGGAGGCUGGAAGCUCCCAUUGGUCAAUGCCUGAAAGUGCUUUGGCAGCAGUAAGGUUCCCAGGGCCAGGGGCACUGCUGGGCCACAGGUGCAGAAUUGGUGGUCUGGGGAGUGCUUGGGUGGCCUGGAGCUGUUUGGUUUGUGGAUAGUAGGCGAGCCAUUUGCAGGCUGCUUCCUGUCAUAUUCAGCACAGCAGGAGUGUCUGACUCUUGCGUGUAAAAUAUGUAUAGACCUGUGUAGUUUCUUAUAGUUCUUGUAUGAAUGCCUUCUAUAGCACAGGAGGAAAACUGGCUUUGCUGUCUUUAAAUCGCCCUGGAGCACUUUGCCUUUCCAGAGAGCCAUCCUCCAGAUGAACCAGUGGGCUUAUGCCCACCAUCUUGCUUUUACCUUUAUGCCAAAUGAAGCAGUAAGGAACACCCUCCUGUUUGCAGCCGGAGAGAUAGGAGAUGAAGAAGCGUUCCCAGCCAAGGUCACAGAUCUAGGGUGUCAACUGCAGGCCUCUGUCUUUUGCGGUAUAGAGCCUUCAGAUCCAGAGCCAGCCCUGGCCCCAGCUGAGGAGGGGAGGGGAGGGGAGGGAAGAGUCACGCCAGACAGCACCAAACAGCAGGACAUGGUUUGGUGGUUUAUCUGCCCUUGGAUGUCACCUGUCACUGAUAAUUUUUUUUUUUUUUUUGAGAUGGAGUGGGAUUACAGGCGCCCGCCACCACACCUGGCUACUUUUUGUAUUUUUAGUAGAGAAAGAGUUUCACCAUGUUGGCCAGGCUGGUCUCUAACUCUUGACCUCGGGCGAUCCACCUCCCUCAGCCUUCCAAAGUGCUGGGAUUACAGGUGUGAACCAUUGCACAGGGCCCACUGAGACAUCUUUGUAUGUGGUAGCUGUUUAGUAAUGUCUGUGAAAGCGAAGAGCCCUGGGUGGAGGAUGCUGGAAACCCAAGUCAGGUCCCAGCUGUGCCCCUGCCCGCCAUGUCCUGGGGAAGGUUGCUUUGCCUCACUGGGUCUGCUUCCUCAUUGGUCCAAAACAGGGCAUCUUUCCAGAUUGUCAUUCUGAUCUCAGCUUGUGUUUCACUUCCUCAGAGAGGCCUGUCCUUAUCCCCAUCUAAAGUGGCCACCUCCUCGUCACGUUCACAUCACUUCCGUGAUCUGUUUCCUCUGUGGCACGGGCCACCCUUUCUGAACUUCCCUUUGCCACGUCCUACUACAGUGUGAGCUUAAUGAAAGCGGAGACUGCGUUUGUCCUGUCACCUGCUGGCUCACCAGCACCUAGACACAGUAGGUGCUCAAGAAAUAUGGUUGUGUGAAUGAGUGAACAAAGAGGUUAACAAGGGGCUGGGGAUGAUGCAUGCCUGUUUUUCAAACUGUGCUCCUAGGAGCUUUGGACGGGGAGAGCAAGCCCCAUGGCCCUGGAUCCCUCACACCAGCAGCUUGGGGUUCAUCUAAGUUACAUGCCGGCUUCCAGGUAGGAUUUCCUUUGAAGAAAGUGUUCUCCCACUAAAAUAAAACUAGAAAGCCAUUGCACCAGAAGACUUCAAGGGGUCUUUUCAUCUUUUCAGCUCCAAGUUGAAACAGUUGUACGGCACCUGGAAGUAAUGCACACUUGGCCUUCUGUGAGGGUCACAGGCAGGAUUCACGCACACAGAGUGGUUGUUCCUCGGCUCAUUUCGGUUUGGCCAUGGCAUUGAUCCACAGCAAUUUUUAUGCAACUGAUUUAAUUUCCUGAAUUUUUGGUUGGAGUUAAUAUGAAAACGAUUUUGCAUACAAUACGGUAGCAAGGGCUAUGUGGGAACUCUGAUCCAUGGGAGAGACAGGCCCUGGACAGGGAAAAAACACAAAACAUCUGCAAGGUGGAGAAACCACACAUGGAUAUUUGAUAGCUCCUUAUUUAAGGUGACUGUGUUUGUCGUCGUCCUCUGUUGGGUAUGUUCCCAGGCAGCCUGCCCAGAUGUGCCUCAUCCCCAGGAGAUGCCCACUCAGCAUUGUCUUGCUUGAGUAGUUGGCAGUGCAGGGGAGCUCUGCUCUCUGGGCGAGUGCUGAGCCUGCAGGACAGCCACGUGGUGCACCAGCCUUGGCCUGUAUUUACAGCAGCCAUGCAUCCUAGGGUUUCCAAGCUCGUCUCCAUGUAAAACAUUGUCUCGUGCUGUUUUUUUCUAUAAAUACACUUGGAAAUGGUAGGGCAACUGCUGUGUCCAACACUGUGCCCAGGUUUGGGGCACAGAACCUAGAUUACCUCUCCCUUUUCUUCUUUUCUUUUUUUUUUUUUUGACAGAGUCUCACUCUGUCGCCCAGGCUGGAGUGCAGUGGUGUGACCUCGGCUCACUGCAAACUCCACCUCCCGGGUUCACGCCAUUCUCCUGCCUCAGCCUCCCGAGUAGCUGGGACUACAGGUGCCCGCCACCACGCCCGGCUAAUUUAUUUGUAUUUUUUUAGUAGAGACGGGGUUUCACCAUGUUAGCCAGGAUGGUCUCGAUCUCCUGACCUUGUGAGCCACCCGUCUAGGCCUCCCAAAGUGCUGGGAUUACAGGCGUGAGCCACCGCGCCUGGCCAUUACCUCUCCCUUUUCUAAGCCCCAUGCGAGGAGCAUUACUGGCCAUGCCCGCAACAGACAAGAGGGCAUCAUUGUUUUGUUUGGUUGGUUUAGGAGGGCUAUUAAGGGAGAUUGUGGAGACAAAUGGAGAGAAUAUGGGAGCAAAGAACUGGGCCCUCUGUUCACUCCUUUUGACACUCCUUUGCUUCUUGUACAUGUCCCCACUCUGGCUGACUUUGGUGUGUUUCUGGACUCACACACCACAGCACAGAUAGAGUUGCAGAGGGGGCAACAAAUAUACACUGUGCACAAAUAUUCACCAAGUGUCUGCUAUAAGCUUGAACCUCCAGGCCCUAAGAAAUGCAUCAGGACCCAGCCCCUGAAUGCUGAGUGCUAGUUGUUGAAGAGAUUAAACUUACACCCAAGAAUAGGUGAGAAAACAGCCCAGUGCAGAUUGAGUGGCACCCACCUGGCCACACCUGGAGCUCCCAAAAAGGAAAGGUGGGCAGAGCCUGCAGGCGAAGGCAGCAGGCAGCAAGGGUGGCAGGAGAGCUCAGCUGUGGGGGUAGAUGGUCCAGGCGUGGAUCCUGGCUAUGCCCCUUCCUCUCCGUGAGAACUUCCCUGUGUUAUGUGACCUCACUAAGCUUCAGUUUCCUCAUCUGUAAAUGGAGAAAAUGACCUGUAACUCCUAGUGAGGUGCAUGGAUGCCUGCCUGAGCUGAACUCAGUAGAGGGUAUGGAGCACCCAAGUGUCUGAUGACCACAGUGAAGUGGUUUGGAAAAGGGCCCAUGGUGAGGAGGGGGCUCUCAGAUGGUGACCGCUAUGGGAUUGUCUGAUGCUGGUCUCCUCUGUCAGUAGUCCAGAGGUCUGUGACCUCCUGCUGGUUAGGCCCCAGGCCAACCAGGCACCCCCUUUCUUCCCUUUCCAACUGUUACUUCCAUGCUACUCCCCACAGACAACUAUGGGAAGGAAAGUGUCUGCACCCCAACAGCCUCCUCUCCCUUCCUCACCGCUCAUGUGCAAGCGCAUGGCCCUGCUUAGAGCUGAAGUGUCCUUAUUGUGAAAUGCCGAAAAUUGAGGAUGUUACAGAGGCUCAGGAAAUGUUCGGGAGAAUUGCUUUGAUGGUUCCCCAGUCUGUUCUGAAGCAUUGAGUAGGGGCCCCCAUUGAUGGUGGCGUGGGAUAAACCCUAGUGGCUCUCAGCCUCGUUCCAAUUUACUAUUGCUAAACAUGGACUUCAUCGUUUGAAAGACUUUUGUCAGCCAGACUUCCAUAUAAAUGAGAAUUUGACUCUGUAUCUUUAAAAUAUUAAUGAAAGGCCAUAUCACUAAUAGUUUGGUUUUACUAUCCAGUGUCUAGCUUUCUGCUUUAUAUCAUUUACAUUUUUAAAAACAUCAGUUUAGGUCAUUUACUAACAGAAUUCCAGUGUGUUUAAAAGGCUCAGAAAGGGGCCGGGUGCAGUGGCUCAUGCCCGUAACCCUAACACUUUGUGAGGCUGAAGCAGGAAGAUCGCUUGAGCCCAGGAAUUCAAGACCAGCCUGGGCAACAGAGCAAGGCCCCGUCUCCACAAUAAGAAACAUAAUUCUAUUCUCAGGUAGUGUUGAGGACUAUUAUUCUAAAACCAGGGUACAGGACAAAGGUCAAAACCCUACUACUUAUCUAUGAAAGGCAGCUAUGAAAGAGAAAUCUCUUUAUAGCAUUUCAAGAAUAUUUAUGGAAACUUAAACUUCUACUUGCCAAAAAGGCUGUACAGUCUAGCUACCAUACCGGCUAUGUGGUUAAAUAAGAUAAUGUAAUUUUUUUUUCUAACUGACCUCAAACAAACAGGACAACACAGCUCACCUCUAUCCUUUGUACUUUUUUCUUCUGAACCUUUUUUUUUUUCUUAAAAUUUUUUUGAGUCUCACUUUGUCACCCAGGCUGGAGCACAGUGUCUUGAUCAUGGCUCACUGUAGCCUCAACUUCCCAGGCUUAAGCCAUCCUCCCACCUCAGCCUCCAGAGUGGCUGGGACUACAGGCAUGUGCCACUACGCCCAACUAAUUUAAAGAAUUCCUUGAAAUGCCUAACAAUAAGUUAAGAGGGAUGAAAGGAAAAGGGAACUAUCCAUGACCCUAUUUUUUUUUCCUUCUAUGUCAUCAUUUUGGCGUUAGUGGUUGGUUAAAGCAGGAAGCAACACAAAUGAGAAAGGAUAGGAUAUCAUAAGAUUCCUCGGUUGUUCGUGUUUCUUAGAAUGUAUAUCUUUCUGCAUUUGAACAAAGUUCUGAUUCCAACAUAGAGUGUGGCUUUUCAGUGCUGUGAACGACCUGUUUACUCUGUCGCAGAGAUCUUGUCUUGGGCUCACUUUGAGGUUCUCUGAGCUCCCAUGCACUGUGGAUCCCUGGAAUUCUGUGCUCACAGGCAUCGUGAACACCAUAUGCAAAUAGAGAGCAGGAAGGCACGGACACACAUAUGCACAUGUCUUCAGCUAAUGUUCAUGUCCCACUGUCCCACUGGACUUCACUUAUGAGACACAAGUUCAAAUUUGAAAUUAUCAAGAAUUUCAAGAUGCCAACAGCAGGACAUUAAACCAAAUGCAGGGUCCUUCCAAAUGUGAGCCUGUGAGCCCACACAUGUUGCACACCCAUGAAGCCAGCCCUGCCUCAAGGCUUUGUGGUCACAUUUUUAAAUGGUGGCCCAGUUAAGGCAACACAAGUCCUUUCAACAGGUGGGCCAUCCAAGGGCCCUAGGAUUCAAGUUAGUCAUUUGUAUGUUUAGAAAAUGAUGGAGGCUUCCAUUUCUAUUAAUAUAUCCAGAUCUCCACCCUCCUGCUUUACGUCAUUUACAUUUUUAAGAGCUUAGGUGUUUUACUAACAGGUUCUAAAAGCAAAUGAUCGGAGUAGAGGUGGAAUUGUCCAUUUUGUCUGUCUGAGAUUUGGAACAGAUUGAAAAGUAAAAAACUUCUAGGAGUUCUUAGGCCCAUUCAGAUACUCACUUGCUGUUCUAGGCAUGACCAUUUUUAUACCAAAGCUGAGCAGAUAGGUUGGGAUGAGGCAGGGCAGGAGGGAAGGAGGGAGUGGCUUAGUUAUUGAGGGAGUACUCUUUGGGAGAGAAGAGAGGCACAAGGAAGAGGAUGUGAGAAAGUGCCAGAUAACUCCGCAUUUGGGGAUCCUUUUUUGUACAUGCAGAGGCUUCUAAGCCAGGCUUUCCAGAAGAAAGAAACUCCUCUGUGUGGAGAGAGAGGGUGAGACAGGAAGUUAGAACUGGAAGCACUGGGAGAGAAUGAAAUCCUAGAAAGGCAAUUAACACUUUCUGACAGCACUGAGCAGAUAGCUAAGGGCUUUCAACUCGCAAGUACAGGGAAUCAAAUGCUAGUACACUGAACCAGAAAGGGGGCGGAGGCAGAAGGAAACCCCUCUCCUCUUUUUCAGAAAGGAGAACUCGGUUAGAAAGAGCAGUGAUGGGUAACAGUAAAAGUUUGGUAAGGAGAAGCCACAUUUGCAUUGUACCUUUAAUUCGUUUAAAUUAUCCACAUUCACCUUGGUUUUAAUUUAUUGUAUAAAUAAUGCUAAUUGUGAGUAGCUAUUUUCACCAUUAAAUUUGACAGAUACGUGCCUGGUUGAUGCAAAUUCUCCAGGGCUCCAAAACUGUUUUUACGCUAUGACCUGAAAGCUAAGAAUUAUUUUUUACAUAUUCGAAGAUUUGAAACAAACAAACAAAAAGCAAAGAAGAAUAUACUGCAGAAACCGUAUGUGGCCUGCAAAGCCAAAAAUAUAUACUAACAGGUCCUUUAUAGAAAAAGUUUGCUGACCCCUAAUCUUUCCCGCAUCAGCCUGGGGUUAUCAACACCUAAGUCAGUUCAGUGCAUGACACUGCUGUCUCUCUGAGUACCAGCCUCUGAGGUCCCAAUUUAAUUCGCCUGGGGUGCAGCCUGGGAAUUGAUUUUUUUUAACCCUCAGGUGGUUCUAGUGGACAUCUGAGGUCAAAAGUAGUUCUAAUACAGUAGUUCCCAAAGUGAGGUCUGGGACCAGCAGCAUCAACAUUGCUUGUUAAACGCAAAAUCCCAGGCCCUACCCCAAACCUGCUGACUCAGUAACUCUUGGGAGGGGUCCAGCAACCUACCAGUGUGCAUUCAGGUGAUUCUGAAGCACGUUCAAGUUUGAGAACACUGCUCUAAGGCUUGGCCUUUCAAACUUAAAGGCCGUGCUCAUGGUUGCUCAUGGCAGGCAAACCUCACGAAUGGGUCAGGUUGAAAGCACGGAAGCUGACGAGGGGGAACCGAAAGGCUUCAGGUCUGAGCUUGGAAAUAACCACAGUUGUUCUCUUACACAUAACUGAGGCCCUGGGAGGUGAAGUGAGCUGCAGGAACCAAAGCUUGGGACAAAAUAACUCCACCAAUGAUAAUAAUGAAUUCCUCCCUAGAAAAUUAUCAUUUAUAAUACUUUUAACAUUGGGCUCUAUUUUUCAUUAUUACAUGUAUAUUUAUCUUUUAAUGUUAGUAUAUUAAUUUACAGAAGGUACCCACUUGGUAAACAAGGAUUUAAACACAACUUUGAACUAUCUUGAAAUAAUUUAAAUAAAUGUUAUACAUGCCUGGGAAGUAGGAAAAUUGGACUGCUGACUUUCACCUCGUAAUUGAUGGGUGAAUUCUGUUCUCCUAACCUCCCCCUAUGGGAGGACAGAUUCCCACAGGGUACUUGGCCCCAGUUUCCUGCCCUCCAGUGAUGUAGCCUGUGGGGCAGUUAUAAGAAUGUAAUAAGAAUUACACUGAAGGCCUACCACGUGCCAGGCACAGUACGAGGUGUUAACAUACAUUAUCUCCUGUAAUCAUUACAACUCUCUAAAGUCAGCGUUAUUAUCCCCAUUUUAUAGUUGUGAAUGUUGAGGCACAGAGAGCUUAAAGACCUUCCCCAAAUCCCAAAACCAAUAAAUGGCAGAGCUGAGAUUCAAACCCAGGGAGGUCUGGCCUCAAAAUAGGCGGGACUGGAGGUAGGGAAGCUUGCCUGUGAUCAGGCGUGAUAUGGCAUUUCAGUUAAUCUACACUAGUUGAGUUUAUGAAUACGCAAAGUGAUCUUUCCCAGCCCUCCCAAGUCUUGCCCAUUUUCCUGGGUUUCCUUGGCAAGAAGUGAGUCCACACCAUACAAAGGUUGGAUUGCUGAUGUGCUCAUCUUAGAAUCCAGGGACCAGAGGCACUUGGAGCAACCAGAGAUCUUCUGUCCAGGUUGUCUAGAAUGCCAUCGCUACCAACAGAGCUGACUGGGUCCUUAAAUUCCUCCUUCACUUUGGAAAUUAGCAGUCAAGGUGGUGUAUAAAUAUUACACAUUAUCAUCCUCGUCAAUAAUAAUGAGGCAGCCUUUCAGAUCUUCGUGUCUCCAAAGCGCUGUGUGCUCAUUAGCUUCUGAUGGCUUAGUAUCGUUAUCCUUGGUUACAGCCACAGACAAUGGGAGCACAAAGGCCAUGACCCCGGGGGGGUAACACUGUAAGUCCACAGUCCUCCCUAGCCUGGAGCACUGGGCUGAGAAUCAGAGAUACGGAUUUGCAUCUCAACUCUUCUCAGACUUGAUCGACUUGAGAAUGGAGAAAUGACAUCCACCCUCUUGGUCUCUUUAGCCAAAAUAUGAGAGUGGGCUGAUUUCUAAGGUUCCUUCUCCAUGUGAGACAGGCAGGCAGCUUUCUAAACCUUGGAAACAAUGGGGCGUGAGUGAUGAUGGUGGUGGUGGUGUGACGAGUACAUGAUGAAGGAGCUGAUUUGGGCACUCUCUAGGGUAUUCUGAUGCCAAGUUGGUUUCUAUAACAUCCUCCCUCAACAACUCAUGGAACUAAAAAUCUUCCUUUUUUUGGAAAGAAUUGGGGUAACAGUGUGGGAGUCGUUGGUUAAUCGCCAUGUGCGUUCAUUAUUUCCUUGCCCAAAAAGGUCAAGCAUCUUUUUACCAGACAAGUAUCUGUGUGCUUGGCUCUCUUGCAAGCAGAAGAUUCUAAUGCUUUCCAAAGGGAUUUCUAAGUCCCUAAAAUACAUGUUUUCACAGACCUGAGAUGGAGAGACAUGGUUUAUUUGUCAGGGAGCUUAGCAACUUCCAAGCUCUUUUCAAUAAAUCACAUCACCUUCGGACUUAAGACCUAACAGAUUUACAUCCAAGUCCCAAAGUGAACAUUGGAAUUCAAAUCUGGAUGCAUCAGUGUUCUCUCCCUCACCCUCAACACAGAUUUAUCAGCCAGAGUGGUGUGGGAGAAGGCAGGCUGGGCCAGGAGUCUGGACACCUGGGCUACCUGGCUUCUAGCUCCAGCUCGGCCUCUAGUAACAUCUCUGGAGCCCACUGGGUUUCUGAGCCUGCACCAGGAAAAUAGUCUACUCUUGGGAGUUGACAGUUCAGGCCUACACAAAAAAAGAAGGGUUCCACAUCAGUGGUUCUUACCCUUUUUGAGUGAGGGAGUCACAAACCCCUUUGGAGAUCUGCUAAAACCUGUGGAACUGCAGCACAUACAUAGUAAAACUCUUCAUACCAUCUCAGGGGCCCCGAAGUUAUAAUUCCCUGCAAGGAAUGGUCUUUUAGUCUCAUUGCUAAGCCAUGGUAUCCUGUUCCAGAGACAAGACAGGCACUAUUUUGAAAGCAAAUGAGAAAUUGUACAAAUCCUUCUGUCUGGGAAAGAAGAUGAGUUUUUAAGUUAUUCGGACAUUGUUUAUUCAAUUCCUGCUGCCAGGAAGGAAAUGUCGCUGCCUUUCCUAUUCCCAGCGGGCAGGUUAUGAAUAUCCUUAAGCAUGAAAUGUCGUGCAUGAGGAAGGCUUUUGUGGGAGAGCUCCUCCUUCCACCCCGCAGUAAACUCUUCUCCAGCCUGGCCCAUCCUGCCAAAGCCACAGAACAUCCAAACUGCCACUAUCCCUUGCUGGGCUGCUGCUGUGUGCUGGGGAGGGGCAGCUGCACAUCCAGCCAGUACUUACUGAAUUCAGGCACCGGCUGGGGCAUCACGGUCACUCUCUCGGGGAUCCUCAGCCUUUGAUCCCCACUGGGCAGAAGACACUGGCUCAGGUAGAUCAGAAGACCUGCCCAAGGUCCUGCAGCUGGCAAGGGUGACAUUAAUUUUCCCUCCAUGUGUGUGACAUCCCAGCCCCUGAAGAAAACACCAGAGAGCCAGGCUCACAUUUAUGUUCACCCACCUCCUGGCACCAGGGAUGGGGAAGGGGACAAAAGCCACACUUCUGCCUGUGCUCAGGAUGGUGUAUGAGCUGCCCUACAGAGGACCUCUCCCUGAAGCUUGUGGGUGUCCUCUGCAGCAUCCAACCAGAGUCAUUUCCCAGUGGCUGCAGCUGUGGACCUGGGGGGUGCUGCUCUGGAGACCCCACCCUAGAAGGGGCAGCAGUGUUAUUGAGGGCCCCCUGUCCUAGGCUCUGAGUCCUCUGCAUCAAGCCUAGUGGAGAGCUCUUGGUUCAGACCAGUCUGAAAGCUGGGAUCAUUGUUGAUCAGGGGCAUGGACGUGCCUCCCACAUCCUCUAGACAGCCUUGAGGAUCCAUGGUCUCUGUGCCUUCCCUUCACCCCUGUACACAGCAGUGAACACUCACCUUGGCCCCUGAGAACAGAGACGCAUGUGGGCCUCCAGCUCCAGUCUGGGUCCUAAACCCAAGCCUGGGAGGCUGCUGGGCCUGCAGUGUUGUCUGCUUCUGCCUGGCUUCCUGGGGGACUGUGGAUGUUGCUGUCAGCCUCAUGGUUACCCAGCCCUCUGGCCUUCUGGAGUUUCUGCAAGGCACCAGCCUCCGGCUACUGGCUGGACCAGCUUGGAUGGACAGCAGAGUGACAGGGAAGACCCCCUUCAGAUGUUUCUGUCCUAGCUCCAGGUCUGAGGAGCAGAGCAGAGCUGAUCUGAAAGGACUCCCAUUGUAAAAUGGUUACAAUGGUAACUUUUAUGUUGUGUGUAUUUUAUCCCAAUAAAAAGAAAGAAAUGGAAAGGGGUUGGGACCAGGUUGGAGGUCAGCAGAAGCUGAAUAUUGUCUAUGAAAUGAAGGGCUUCUCCAUGGUCUUGGAGGCCACCUUCAGUUCUAAAAGUGUCUUGUGAGUCUGUGAUAUGGUCCCAACUCUCCCCACAUUUUAACCAUAAACAAGUGUGGAGUGAUGAUAGGCAAUUGAAGAAUGGAAAAGCUGCUGGCUGCCUGUUGGUCUCCUAGAGUGUCCAAGCAGGAAUUUUGUGGUCCCAGCUUUGGGGUCGGUGGCGGAGGGAGACAGUGGUCAGAGGAGCUUAAAUGAGUGGAGAGGAGCUUAAAUGAGUGGAGAGGGGCUUAACACACCCCUUCAACCAGAGGGGCUCUGCUUUAUCUUUUUGAUAUAUCGAGGCUCUACAUAAAAACUUAUUUGAAAGAAUCUACUAGAACACCAACUUUCUCAUUGUACAGAUAAAGAAACUGAGGCACAGAGGGAGGUGGUGACUUGCUCAAGGUGCUGGCAAGUAGAGAAGGCCUCCUGAAUCUAGACCCCAUCCCCAACACCUGGGCCUUUGCUUGCCCCUGCGAUCGUGUCCUCUGCCUUUAUAAACACAGCACAUCAGUUAGCGGACGGCCCUGUCCCUAGCAUCACUUUGGCAAUUCCCCUUUCUUUGAUCAUCAUGGGAAGUGAGGACUUCCUCAGCCCCUGCCCCUCCCCUGGGAUCCAGAAGCACACAUUCUUCCCCAACCAGAUUCCCUCUUGCCAAGCACUGGCCUUCACUCGGGGGCGAGGAGGGGAGGUGAGCAAGCAGCUCCCGCAUGGACAUGGACAGGGCCUCUUUACAUGUGGCUCCGCACGGGUGAAGAAAAGAUGGGCUCUUCUCUAUGGAAAUCGUAGAUCCAUUCUCCAAGUAUGGGAAAAAUUAUAGACUGUUUCCUUCCCUAUAUUUAAGCUCAUUCAAGGGAGCAGUAAGCAUAUUAGUAUAUUUCUGAAAGGUGUUUUGAAGACCCAGUGUGUCAGAAUUAAAACUCUGUGCUCUUAGUGUAGAAAGCCAGUGAUUUUCAUGAGUGAGCUUAGGGUCUGUCUUCUCACCAUCGGUUUCCUCUGCCCCUCUAGCUAGGUCCACCCCAGCAGGUGGGCAGCCUGGGCCAGCUUCCAUGGACUGACUGCAGGGCAGACUGGACAGCCCUUGACUGUCCUAGACAACUUGGCCUCCGCUGUGGUCUUGCAGAAUUACAGGAAAUCGAUUAAUACAUGCCCAAUUCUCCCUUCAGAUAGCUGGGCUGCUAAGUGUAUUUUUAGAAUUCAUUUAAAUAAAUGCUCAUUCCCCAACCCCAGACUCUGGUUUAUAACCCACUGGGCCAUUUGGAUUUCUUUCAUUUAACCUCAUAAUUGGUGACUCUAAUUCUCAUAAUCUGGUGGUCCCCUUUUGCUUACAAAGUCCACGAUCAUGAGCCUGAACCAUACCUUCCCUUCACCUUCUUUGCCUAAUUCCUGCUCAUCCUUAAAAACCUACGUCCAUAGUUCCCUCUUCAUCCCUCCUGCACACGUUUCCCCCUGAACUUCAUCCAUUGUGAUGUUGACGUGUCCGUUUUUCCAGCUGUGAGCUAUCGGAGUUCAGAGACAGCGUCAUUCAUUCCCUUCUCUUCAUCUCCAGGACCUAUGCCACAUAGUGAGGCCUAGGAUGUUCAAUAAAUUAAUAGAUUAAUUAACUAGUUAAUCUCAGAGGGGAAAACAGAUACAUGAACCUUCAGCAGACCUUCUGCAAUGCUGAAUGAGGAGGGGAGACGCAAGCAGGGCAGCAGUGAGAAGAGUGCAAUAGGCAGAUUUGCAGGGUGUUCUUUGAGGAGAGCUGCAGAAGGGGGUGUCUUGGUAAAGCAUUGCAUGUUGGGGAGGGAAGUGGUGACACUGAGAAAAAGGGGUGAGCAUUUCACAGGCGAUGGAGCGUCACUUACUGAGAUUAGGAAUAGGGGAUGAAUGGGUCGCAGGGAGAUGUUGUUGACUGCGUUUUGGGCGUGCUGAAUGGGAGGGACCUGCAGCCAUGGGAGGGAGCCUGCAGCUCAGCAGGGUUUUGAGUCAUCAGAUUGCUGGAGGUGGAUGGGGUUGGGCAUGAAUGGGGGUGGCAAAGAACAAAAAAUGUUCCCCACCUCACCCUGGAGGGAGUGCCAGCCUUAAAGGGGUAAGCCAGGAAGAAGACGAGUGGUUGAGGCCAAGGAAGAGAGGACAAAGCUGGAGACUUGGAGGUCAUGAUGUUCAGAUCAAGGCAAAUUAGAAACUCAGGAGAAGAACGAGGUGAGAAUGUACCACGAAACCAGCAGUGGAGAGAGGGUCUUCAAAAGGAAGGUGUGAUCAGUGCUUCAAAUUCAGCAGAGGUGAAGCGGGAGGAGGUUUGAAAAGCCACCUUUGGCUCUGGCAAUGACAGUAACUUUGGGAUGAGUAGAGUGGGCGCGGAGGUCAGACAGUGGUGGGGUGCAGGAUGACUGGACAAAGAAGUAAAGCUUCAGAGGAAGAAAGAUCUGGCAGUAACUCAAGAGGGAGACAGGAUCCAGGAAACUGUGGGUGACUUGAGAGACAGCAUGCAUUCUGAUGAGGCUGAGCUUUGCAGUCUUACAGCUGAGAUUCUAUCCCGGCUCUAUGUACUAGUCUGAUUAAGGACUAAUUUGUUGCUCCUAGAGCUGGAGCUAGAGUAGGAGCUCUUUUUCUUUUCUGAGAGGAACAUUUAUACAGAGAAGACUCUGACCACCAAGGGUAUGGGUCAGUUUAGAGCAAAGGCUAAGGUACUAACUCGGAGACCCAAUAAAACAGUAGCUUAGAAAAAACAAAGUUUUUCUAUCUCUCUCUCUCUCUCAUCUUACAGUCAGGGUAGGCAAGCUGUUCUGCUCCACACAGUCAUACAGGGAUCCCGGAUCCUGCCAUCUUGUUUCUGUACCAUCCCCGAGGACAGCGUGUGUCUCCAAAUGUGGCCUCCAGACAAGCAGCCCUAGUGUCACCCAGAAACUUGUCAUAAAUGCAAACUUCAGGCACCACCCCAGACUUACUGAAUUAGAAUCGCUGGGGGUGGGGCCAGCUGCGGUUUCAGAAGUCCUUCAGGUGAUUCUAAUGUACCCUUAAGCUUAGAAACACUUCUCUGAGGUGCUGUCCUUGUCUGCAUGGUUGAAGCUGGAUUUCAGACAUAUCUCUGUCGCAGUUCUCAGGAAGGGAAAAGAUUGUGGUGAUGUGUAGGGACAAUGUUUUAAGGUCCAGGCAUGGAGACGUACUUCCACUCACAUUCCAUUGUCAAGAACUACUAUAUGCCCAGAUCUAGCUGCUUGAAGGGUUGGGAAAUGCAGUCACUGGUUAGGUGGCCAUGUACCCAGUUACAGCUCCAUUAUAAUGGAAGAAGAGAAGAACAAAUUUUGGGAGAUCACUAACAGUCUUGGCUACUUGAAUCAAACUUAAGUUAAGUUUAAUGCCAAUUCCCAUCCUUUGGAAGAAAGAGAUCUACCUACAGAUCACAGUUAAGGCCUAUCUAUUUAAAGGGAUCCAUGAGGGUUUUCUUGUCAGGUGUACCAGCCUCCAAACCCUCACUGGACAUGAGCAGCCCAACCCUUAGUCACCUACCUUACCUGCUCAUCCGAGACACAUUGUGCUGCCCAGUUCCUGGUUGGAAACAUCCAAUAAAAGGAUUUCAUCCAGCUGGCCCCAUCCGAAAGAAGGCACCCCGGCUUGGCAGGGAAGGAUGGGUGGUAAAGAGGUGUUGGUUUGCUGGAAAUGAGAGCUAGAAGAAGAUAAGCAGCUUGUCCAGUGAGCAGCUAGGUACUUGCUGGGCGUUUAUGCACACCUGCACAGACUGUGCACUGCACAAUUCCAGGGGCAGCCAUUCACAGUCACUCUGAUGUGGAUAGCUCCCCCUGGAGUAGGGUGAUGCAGGCACCUGUGUCUCAGCCAUGUCCCACCCUCUGCUGAACCUCAGCACGCUGGGGUCUUGGGCACUCCUGUUGCUGCUGCUCAUUGCCUUACAGAUCAGGGUGAGCUCAGGCUCACCCUGAAUGGGCCACUCCUGAAGCCUCCAUCCUUCCUCUGAACAGCUUCUCAGGAGGAGUCUCAGUGCUUCAUGGACCAAGCCUGGACAGAUAAAUCAGUUCUGCAUGGGGGCAGCUUUUCUUCCCUCCUCCAAGUCUACUAAAAGCCCAAACCUGAGAAGCCUUGACCUUGGCAUCAGCAACACCUGGGCUUGAUUCCUGGGUCUGCCAGCAGAGCCUCAGCUCCUCAUUUAUAAAACAGAAGCAAUAGCAACUACCUUAGUGAGUUAUUGAAACAGUUAAAUGAGAAACUUGGCCCAUAUGAGGGCCCCACCACUAUUUAUGGCUGAAGCUGCAGGGGGCUGGGCUUUCCAACUACUGGCCAGUGUCUGGAGGACGUGCAGGGGGUCAAGGUGGCUUCUCGGGGCCCUAAAACACCUUGUCUGCAUGACUAGGAAAUCAUACAUUUCUGGAACAGGCAGGGUGACCUGCCUUCCUUGGAUCUGGCAUGUGUUUACUUAAUGAGCUACUUUCAGAUCCGACACACGCACACUGUCUCUCUCUACCAGCUGUCUGUGAUGCUGGGUUCUGCAGCAGGAGAAGGAAGCCACUUGUGUUUGCCACACUGAGAUCUCACUGUUGGUGGGCCUUAGGGGCACUGGGCUUUCCCAGCCUCUGCUGUGGGUCCAUCAUUAAGACCUGGAGCAAAGGCAAAGAAAAGAAGGUGUAGAGCUAGGAGAAGGGGGUCCACUGCAUGUUCAUUUCCGAUACCUCUCAGAGCUGUCCCCUCCUGCUGUGGGUUUCUUCUGAGGUCUGACUGCUCUACGGAAGUGUCUGAUUGUGCCUUCAGGUGUUUCCCAUCAAGGAAACUGUCUUGUUCCCAUUUGUGCCUCGUUUGGAUUAUUUUCAAAAAGAUAUUCUACUUUGAUGUACAAUGGAUAUAGGUCUGUGUUUCUCAUCUGAGGCUGACAUGGAAGAAGCAGGGAAAAAAGAAGAAGAUGCAAAGAAGGCAGAGAAAGCUCAGGGAAAGCUCCUCUUUCUGUUUUCUUUGACAGGUCUCCUGAGGAACCGGGUGAGAGCAAGAUGGGGUGAGAGGUAUUUAUGUAGCUCUCCCAGAGUUCAUGAGCAUUCACGUGGCUCUUCAGUGCAUUUGCUCAUUCGUUCACUCAUUCAUUCAGCAUCGGACACCAAUACAUGGGGUGCUGUGUUGGGUGCUCAGGACCCCAGAACUUAGCUCAGAUGUUGUCAAGUAAUGUAGUUAAGGGGCAUGCCUUGGGCUUCAUUCGUGGGGGUUGGUGACCAUGGGGUAUAAGAGCAGGAAGUGGGUUGGAGAUACCUUUAGAAUAUGGAGGAGAUGGGGCAGAAAGAUUCAGAAUGUUGUUGACAAGCAGUGUAACAUCAUGAUGAAGAGCCAGGACUUAACACCCAGCCGGGACAUUUUUGAAGUGAACUGGAGCACUGCUCUUAAUUAUGUUGACAAUAGGUGCAAAGCAGGAUUAAUCUCUGUCUCUCUUUCCCCUUCUGUAACGUGGGGAAGAUGUAUGUGCCUACCUUAAAGGGUUGUGAGGAUUAAAAGAGAUAUUACUUACAAAGGACAGUUGAUCCUUGAAUAGCACGGGCUUGUUGAACUGUGCAGAUCCACUUCUAUUUUUCAACCAAACAUGGAUGGAAAAUACAGUAUUCACGGGAUGCAAAACCCAAUUAUAUGGAGAGCCGGCUUUUCAUGUAUGUGGGUUCUGCAGGGCUGGCUGCAGAUCUUGAGCAUGUGUGGACUUUGAUUUACAAGGGGGUCCUGGAACCAAUCCCCCAUGUACGCCGAGGAACAACUGUACUAAAACCAUACCUGACACACCACAGUUAUUCCCGGGCUCACAAGGAAAUGCGCAAAGAUUUAAGUGAUAGAGCAAUGGCCCACAACUCCUGCGCUUGCAGUAAGUCUUAGAGUGGGAAGUAUCUUUACCCAACCUGGUAAAGAAGAUAGUCAUUCCAGUUUUAUGGAUGAGAAGAGCCAAGGCCGAAAGUCACAAACAGGUUAGAAAUGGAAGCGAGACCAGAACCCAGGUUCCUAGAUAUAAGCUCAGCCCCCCUUACAUUGCAGAAUUGGGGAUAGGGUUGAUCAGAAGAGAAGGAAUGUGUAGGGGUGACCCAAGCACCAAGACAGCUGUCACCUUCUGCACUCGAUGACCUCACUAGCCCUGCUGGGAUGGCAGAGGCCCAGGUGCUGCCUCCUGGAGCCCUACCCACAGGGCACCCCACCUGCAGCCCCAGCUGAGGGGCACCUCUUCCCACCCCCCCACUCCACCCAGGGUGUCCUUUUGCAGUGCCUUGCUGUCGUGUUGAGAAUAGAGAUGAGGUGCGUAAUGUUCACUGCAGCCGUGGCCUUUUUUCUCUUCUUUUAAAAUGGCUUUCCUGUCUGAACCAAUCUGCUUUGUUAAAUUGAGGUCCUGGUUUUCUGCAGGUGAAUUCUUCACGGCCACCUGGGGACAGGGUCCCCUCUCAAUCAUCUGUAUAGAGUCCACUAAGCGGGCCGAGAGGGUUGAGGGGCAGAGGCCCUGAGACUCCAUCCAUAACCAUCAGACACAGAGCCUGGCCGGUGUAUUAUUUAGGGUUACCCAACCUUUGCCUGUUGUCCUUCAUUUGGGAAGCUCUUAGAGAUGUGAGUUUCAUCAUGACCCUUGUCUGGCAAUGAAGCUGUAAAAUUGCAGUAUACAUAGUUCUUGCAACUCUCCAUCCCAUUUAGUCCUCACAGCCACCAUGCAAGGGAGACAAAGCCAGCCCAGCGUCAUCUCUAUCUUACAGAGGAGGAAGCUAAGGCUCCAGAGGUCACAGGGUUUGCCCAGGGUCACACUGCUGUAGGUGGCAACUGGUACUCACACCCAGAUCCCCUAACCUGCUGACUAGCGCUGGGUUUGUGUUUGUUUGGUCACCGAUUCUUGUCACAAGCGCUGGAGAAGUCCUCAUUUCAUAGGUCAGACAGAAUUUAAAAAAAAAAAAAAGGAUCUAGGAAAAACAGCAAACUGUGAUCCUGCGUACAGGCACCUCCAGAGACUCCCUGUGUAUGUAUACACCUAGAGGAUGAGAGAAGCUGAACCACUUGCCUGACAGUAGGAGCAGAAUCCUGACUAAUACAAAAAUGCAAUCUGGUACUUGCAAAUGAAGUAAAAAAUAGUCAUGUACUUAGGAAACCAUGUCUCUCAGGGCAUAAAGACUAGGAAUUCUUAGUGCUAGGGUUUUAAUUCAAGUUCCACCUACAGCACCAUCCACAUGACUCUAUAGUUAGCAAUCAAAUCCUAAGUUUAGUCCAAAAGAGUUGCCUGUGCUCAUUUACCUGCACACAACAAACACGGUAAUGGAAAAGAAAAGGCGGUUGCCGGCCAGGCGAGGUGGCUCACGCCUGUAAUCCCAGCACUUUGGGAGGCCAAGGCGGGUGGAUCACUUGAGGUCAGGAGUUUAAGAACAGCCUGGCCAACAUUGUGGAACCCUGUCUCUACUAAAAAUACAAAAAUUAGUCAGGCAUGGUGGUAUUUGCCUGUAAUCCCAGAUACUGUGGUGGCUGAGGCACAAGAAUCAUUUGAACCUGGGAGGCGGAGGUUACAGUGAAC